UGGUAAUAAGCAGUGAGACAUCCUUCCUGUCGAGAAGCUGAACAAUGGUUUCCUCUGACAGAAGCACAACAUGAGGAGCCUUCCAUAUGUUGGUGCUGAUUUGAACGGCGGCAGCAUCUCCGAGAGGGACCCCGUGAGGAUCUGGAUAUCCUGUGGGAAGAAAAGCUCUGUGGUGACAAGGAUGGGCCUCUCCAGGUGAAGCUGGCACUGGUGGUGUUGUCCUUGCUGGAGCUGGUGGCCAACUUGGCACUGGGGACAUGUGGAAGGCAUAACCAAACCCAUGGGGAAAACAGGCACAGAGAGCAAGGCCUGGAGUCCUUUGGGCUCAGCAGAGCCUGGCAGUGGCACAGGGCUGAGCCGCGUGCCCCGACCCCGUGCAGAUGAAGCCUGCCCUGCAUUCCCUUGGCUCCCCCGGUGCCCAGGGAUGGAUUGUCCCACAUCCAGCGUGUGGCUGCUCUGCAUCCUCCCAUCCUCACCACGGUUUUGCUGGAGAGAGGGGAGGAGGGAGCCCUCGGCCGGGCCGGCACCCGCGCUCUGCACAAUGUCCAUUUGUUCUGGGUGCUAACACCAAAUGACAAAAGACUCCAGAUUCAUGCCGAACAAAAUUGUCCCCUUGCUAAUUAUUAGAUUAUGAAAUGUGUUUCAUAAUGUAAUGAAUAAUGGCGGGGGGGACCUUGGCUUAUGUUAAUUUUUUUUCCCCUGCUCGAAUCUGGAUUUUUUCAUUGUUUGCCCCGGAGUUUCUGUUGGUAGGUUGAAACAGAGAUGCGAAAAGAAUGGGAAAGGCUGGGUUUUAUUUGUGCCUUGCCUCUUAAAGCUGUGACUUGGCUCACACAGUAAGUGCAAACAAUUCUCUCCUGGCAAGUGUUCAGUGGAGACAUUACUGAUGACAGACUUUAUUAAGUGCAGGUUUGCUUGUUAUUAAAUUCGCUCUGUGCUUGUUUCCGAAGCUGCUGGCCCGGCCGGCUGCAUCCCAUUAGGAUCUUUAGGAAGAAAGAAAGGAACAGAACAUUGUCUGCAGCACAGCCAGCGAUGAGGUGAUGGGGAAGCCAGCACUGGGGAAGGAGACCCAAGGACAUAAUUAAUUGCUACGUUUUAAAACAAACAUUUGUUUGGUUUAUUGAGUUAAUUCGAGCCAUCCCUUGGAGAUUCCUGGUUUCCAGGUGAAGCUGGGCAUGUCUUCCCAUGUCAGCACGUCCAGGGCUGUGGGAGGUUAAUGUAUGUUGCAUUAAUUGUUUGUGGGGGGAGAAAAACCACCAUUAAAGUAGAGGCAUGUUUCUAA